rnacentral:rRNA from 1 species
UCAGUCGAGCGGACAGAUGGAGCUUGCUCCCUGAUGUUAGCGCGGACGGGUGAGUAACACUGGGUAACCUGCCUGUAAGAUGGGAUAACUCCGGGAAACCGGGCUAAUACCGGAUGCUUGUUUGAACGCAUGGUUCAAACAUAAAAGGUGGCUUCGGUACCACUUACAGAUGGACCCGCGGCCAUUAGCUAGUUGGUGAGGUAAUGGCUCACCAAGGCAACGAUGGUAGCCGACCUGAGAGGGUGAUCGCCACACUGGGACUGAGACACGGCCCAGACUCCUACGGAGGCAGCAGUAGGGAAUCUUCCGCAAUGGACGAAGUCUGACGGAGCAACGCCGCGUGAGUGUGAAGGUUUUCGGAUCGUAAAGCUCUGUUGUUAGGGAGAACAAGUACCGUUCGAAUAGGGCGGUACCUUGACGGUACCUAACCAGAAAGCCCGGCUAACUACGUGCCAGCAGCCGCGGUAAUACGUAGGUGGCAAGCGUUGUCCGGAAUUAUUGGGCGUAAAGGCUCGCAGGCGGUUCCUUAAGUCUGAUGUGAAAGCCCGGCUCAACCGGGAGGGUCAUUGGAAACUGGGGAACUUGAGUGCAGAAGAGGAGAGUGGAAUUCCACGUGUAGCGGUGAAAUGCGUAGAGAUGUGGAGGAACACCAGUGGCGAAGGCGACUCUCUGGUCUGUAACUGACGCUGAGGAGCGAAAGCGUGGGGAGCGAACAGGAUUAGAUACCCUGGUAGUCCACGCCGUAACGAUGAGUGCUAAGUGUUAGGGGGUUUCCGCCCUUAGUGCUGCAGCUAACGCAUUAAGCACUCCGCCUGGGGAGUACGGUCGCAAGACUGAAACUCAAAGGAAUUGACGGGCCGCACAAGCGGUGGAGCAUGUGGUUUAAUUCGAAGCAACGCGAAGAACCUUACCAGGUCUUGACAUCCUCUGACAAUCCUAGAGAUAGACGUCCCCUUCGGGCAGAGUGACAGGUGGUGCAUGGUUGUCGUCGCUCGUGUCGUGAGAUGUUGGUUAAGUCCCGCAAGCGCAACCCUUGAUCUUAGUUGCAGCAUUCAGUUGGGCACUCUAAGGUGACUGCCGGUGACAACCCGAGGAAG